GGUUUAUUUAAGAAAGCUUCGGUGGGCCACAUUGAAGUAGCUGGACAAAGAGAGGGGAUAGGCUUACCUUCAUGGGCCGAGAGAGAGCUUGAGGACGUUGAAAGCCCAGGUCUUUUCCUUUGUGCAUCUUGCUCUUUAAUUGCCAUUUAUAGUUUCCACCAUUGAGCUUUCCAGGGGGGUAUAUUAUUUCGUAGCUGCAUGCCUCCUUGAAGAGUAGUUAUAUUGAGGAGUUAAUGAAGCCACUUUCUCUGAGAUCUUGCCAUCAGCUGUCUUGUUAACAGAUAUACUCCUUUCUACCUGCUUUGGAUUUUCUGAGGAGUAGUUAGACUGCACAGUGAUCACUUUUAAGUCAGUGGGUGAAGCAAUUAAUGGAGGUUGUGCACUGUAGCAAAACAGAGGUGUUGAUCGGCGGAAUAGAAUUUUCUGGGAUGAGUUUGUGGAUUUCUCCUAAGUCGCUUCCACAGUUGGAAAGAAUUGGUGUAAUUCUGGUGGUUGGAUUUUCUGUUUUCCAUCCCAUAACAAGUAGCUUCUCUUGGGUUUGAAAAAGGUAGCGUCUAGCGCAUUUGUUUUUGACGUCCUUUGGAGAAUAGAAAGACAUUGCAACAAAAGGGCUUUCUUGGAAAGUCUCAACAAAAAUGCAAAACAUAUGUGGGUUGUCCUAGGUGAGAGAAAUGAGCAGUAGAGCACGUUGGAGGCGUGAAGUUAGGACUGAGCAGGGACCACGUUCGCGUAAUGGUGUAGGAGUUGGAACUGGAUCAAUCUCACCUCAAGCCACAGCAAAUGAGGAUGAGUUGGCUGGGAUAAAAAAAAUGCUGGAGGCGUGAAUCGUUGCUGAACACGUGAAGGUUGAAGUAAAGGACUGAGGGCAUAUAAAAAGGAAAUCUCGCACGCGGCAGGCUUUUUCUUCCUUUUUUUUUUCAUGGUUUUAUUUUUUUUUGGGAGUUUUACGUUUCUUGCUUUCCAGACUGGAGGGAUUCGGAGACUUGGUUUAUUUUCUUUCUGCAGUUUAGUUUUACUUGUUAGGCGACUGUUUUUAUUUAUUUUUUUCUUUGACUGUUUCUUUUUUUUUUUUCAUUUUUCGUUGAGGAGAACUUGGUUUUGAUAUUUUUUUUCUCCGUUUUUCUUUUCCGAAACUUAGUAGACGGAUGGGAGUUUUAUCUCUCUAGUUUUUAGUUUUAGAUUUUUUUUUCUUUCUUUGUUUCGUUGAGACGGUAUCUUUAUUUUUCCUUAGUCUUAUUCGUUUGGAUGGCUC